AGCCCAUGGUGAGAGCACCUUCUCAAUAGGUCCUUGUAUCUCUCUCAUGCAUCAUAGAGUGUCUCUAGAUCCAUCUGGACAAAAUAAGAGAUAUUGUUCCUCAAUUU
rfam:Gossypium arboreum cultivar AKA8401 contig_10930_1, whole genome shotgun sequence.